rnacentral:tRNA from 2 species
CUGGGGUCCAGAGUGGGAGCGUCGUGGUAUUGCCGAUGCCACCAUGGAUGAGGGCAAGGGUGAUUUUUCGAUUCAGUUACCCCCGCC